rnacentral:rRNA from 1 species
UACGGGAGGCAGCAGUGAGGGAUAUUGCACAAUGGGGGAAACCCUGAUGCAGCGACGUCGCGUGAGGGAAGAAGGUUUUUGGAUUGUAAACCUCUGUCUUUGGAGAAGAUAAUGACGGUAUCCAAAGAGGAAGCUCCGGCUAACUACGUGCCAGCAGCCGCGGUAAU